GCAUAUCAAUAAGCGGAGGAAAAGAAACCAACAGGGAUUGCCCUAGUAACGGCGAGUGAAGCGGCAUCAGCUCAAAUUUGAAAUCUGGCUCUUUCAGAGUCCGAGUUGUAAUUUGCAGAGGGCGCUUUGGUGUCGGCAGCGGUCCAAGUUCCUUGGAACAGGACGUCACAGAGGGUGAGAAUCCCGUACGUGGUCGCUGACCUACACCGUGUAAAGCCCCUUCGACGAGUCGAGUUGUUUGGGAAUGCAGCUCUAAAUGGGAGGUAAAUUUCUUCUAAAGCUAAAUACUGGCCAGAGACCGAUAGCGCACAAGUAGAGUGAUCGAAAGAUGAAAAGCACUUUGGAAAGAGAGUCAAACAGCACGUGAAAUUGUUGAAAGGGAAGCGCUUGCAGCCAGACUUGCUUGUAGUUGCUCAUCCGGGCUUUUGCCCGGUGCACUCUUCUGCGAGCAGGCCAGCAUCAGUUUGGACGGUUGGAUAAAGGCCUCUGUCACGUACCUUCUCUCGGGAAGGCCUUAUAGGGGAGGCGUCAUGCAACCAGUCUGGACUGAGGUCCGCGCAUCUGCUA
rnacentral:rRNA from 1 species